CCUUUGAAGUUAGCGGCGGACGGGUGAGUAACACGUGGGUAACCUACCUAUAAGACUGGGAUAACUUCGGGAAACCGGAGCUAAUACCAGAUAACAUUUAGAACCGCAUGGUUCUAAAGUGAAAGAUGGUUUUGCUAUCACUUAUAGAUGGACCCGCGCCGUAUUAGCUAGUUGGUAAGGUAACGGCUUACCAAGGCGACGAUACGUAGCCGACCUGAGAGGGUGAUCGGCCACACUGGAACUGAGACACGGUCCAGACUCCUACGGAAGGCAGCAG
rnacentral:rRNA from 1 species